UAUUUGCCCACUGGUGAACCGAUC
rnacentral:siRNA from 1 species